GGAUGCUGGUGAUUUUGAAUGCAAUAUCUGCUUUGAUUUAGCCCAAGACCCGAUUGUUACCCUUUGUGGCCAUCUUUUCUGCUGGCCGUGCCUUUACAAAUGGCUCCACAUUCACUCCCAUGCUCAGGAAUGCCCUGUUUGCAAAGCCCUCGUGAAGGAGGAGAAUUUGGUCCCCUUGUAUGGUAGGGGAAAGACAUCUACUGACCCAAGAUCAAAGUCCAUUCCUGGAGUUGAUAUUCCAAAUCGUCCAGCAGGGCAAAGACCUGAAACAGCUCCUCCACCAGAACAGAAUCAUUUCGCCCAACGUGGGUUUGGAUUCAUGGGAGGCUUGGGAGGUUUGGGAGGGUAUGCUCCACCAAUGGCAACCACAACAAGGUUUGGGAAUUUCACAUUCUCUGCAGCUUUUGGUGGC
rnacentral:lncRNA from 1 species